CCAGCCGCCGCGGUAAUACGGAGGGUGUCAGCGUUAUCCGGAUUUAUUGGGUUUAAAGGGUCCGUAGGCGGAUUUUUUAAGUCAGAGGUGAAAUCUCACAGCUCAACUGUGAAACUGCCAUUGAUACUGCGUGUCUUGAGUGAGGUUGAAGUACCUGGAAUAAGUAGUGUAGCGGUGAAAUGCAUAGAUAUUACUUAGAACACCAAUUGCGAAGGCAGGUUACUAAGUCUCAACUGAUGCUGAUGGACGAAAGCGUGGGGAGCGAACAGGAUUAGAUACCCUGGUAGUCCACGCUGUAAACGAUGCUAACUCGUUUUUGGGGAUUUAUCUUCAGAGACUAAGCGAAAGUGAUAAGUUAGCCACCUGGGGAGUACGAACGCAAGUUUGAAACUCAAAGGAAUUGACGGGGGCCCGCACAAGCGGUGGAUUAUGUGGUUUAAUUCGAUGAUACGCGAGGAACCUUACCAAGGCUUAAAUGGGAAUUGAUCGGUUUAGAAAUAGACCUUCCUUCGGGGCAAUUUUCAAGGUGCUGCAUGGUUUGUCGUCAGCUCGUGCCCGUGAGGUGUUAAGGUUAAGUCCUGCAAACGAGCGCAAACCCCCCUGUUCACCUAGUUUGGCCAU
rnacentral:rRNA from 1 species